CCUACGGGUGGCUGCAGUGGGGAAUAUUGGACAAUGGGGGGAACCCUGAUCCAGCCAUGCCGCGUGUGUGAAGAAGGCCCUCGGGUUGUAAAGCACUUUCAGUGAGGAAGAACGCCUGUUGGUUAAUACCCAUCAGGAAAGACAUCACUCACAGAAGAAGCACCGGCUAACUCCGUGCCAGCAGCCGCGGUAAUACGGAGGGUGCGAGCGUUAAUCGGAAUUACUGGGCGUAAAGCGCGCGUAGGUGGCUUGAUAAGCCGGUUGUGAAAGCCCCGGGCUCAACCUGGGAACGGCAUCCGGAACUGUCAAGCUAGAGUGCAGGAGAGGAAGGUAGAAUUCCCGGUGUAGCGGUGAAAUGCGUAGAGAUCGGGAGGAAUACCAGUGGCGAAGGCGGCCUUCUGGACUGACACUGACACUGAGGUGCGAAAGCGUGGGUAGCAAACAGGAUUAGAUACCCUGGUAGUC
rnacentral:rRNA from 1 species